UACGUAGGGUGCGAGCGUUUAAUCGGAAUUACUGGGCGUAAAGCGUGCGCAGGCGGUUCGUUAAGUCAGAUGUGAAAGCCCCGGGCUCAACCUGGGAACUGCAUUUGAAACUGGCGGGCUUGAGUGUGGCAGAGGGGGGUGGGAAUUCCGCGUGUAGCAGUGAAAUGCGUAGAGAUGCGGAGGAACACCGAUGGCGAAGGCAGCCCCCUGGGCCAACACUGACGCUCAGGCACGAAAGCGUGGGGAGCAAACAGG
rnacentral:rRNA from 1 species